UACGUAGGGGGGCAAGCGUUGUCCGGAAUCAUUGGGCGUAAAGCGCGUGUAGGCGGCUCGAUAAGUCUGCUGUGAAAGUCCAAGGCUCAACCUUGGGAUGCCGGUGGAUACUGUCGAGCUCGAGUCCGGAAGAGGAGUGUGGAAUUCCUGGUGUAGCGGUGAAAUGCGCAGAUAUCAGGAGGAACACCAAUGGCGAAGGCAGCACUCUGGGACGUGACUGACGCUGAGACGCGAAAGCGUGGGGAGCAAACAGG
rnacentral:rRNA from 1 species